rfam:Hordeum vulgare subsp. vulgare, WGS project CAJW01000000 data, contig: morex_contig_64724
UGGGGAAGCAUCCAAAGGGAUCGCAUUGAUCCUUCCAUCCAUGGUAAUGGUGGCCGUCAUCAAUCGACCGGUUCGAUGGAUCAUGCGAUCCUUUUGGAAGCUUCCUC